UUUACGUUUUUGGCGGAAAAC
rnacentral:snRNA from 1 species